AAGGUAACAAACAAUACUGAAACCACACACACACACACACACACACACACACACACACACCAUUGUCCAAGAUAUUUAGCAUAGGUCAGAUGACAGGAAGAAGCGGGGCAGGGAGUAAGGAAACAGAAAUUACCCAGAAGGAAGAGGAAGAAGACUCCAGUUAUUUAAAGUACCAUUCCAUUCAGGUGUUUAUGUUGGACAAUCAGCAGCAGAUGGUGACUCAUGCCUUUGGGGAGUAUUUUAAAAUGAAACUUCUUUCCUAUUGUAAGAGUUCUGAGUUCAGCAGGAUAUGAGACACUCCCUCCUCAGAGCUAUUUCCGCAUGCACACAAGUGAAUCAUAUGGCCAUCCAAACUCCUUAUCUUCAUCAAAAAGCUUGAGGAGGAAGUAUCUGGAAAUCUUUACAUUGAUUUCUCAGUGAUCCAGCCAUGCACUGUUUCGCUAAGUGAACAUUGAAAAGAUGAAGGUAACACUUAUCUGGAAGAAAUGUAACAAUUAAAUGAGAUAAAACAAUGAAACACUCUCUGUCACUGUCCAGGGAUUCAGUCCUAUACUUCUUUGGAUGUUCAUCAAGCUAGUACAAUGUCUUAUUUGUAGAAGACAUUCCAAAAAUAAUCAUCCC